rnacentral:misc_RNA from 1 species
GAUGAAGAACGUAGCGAAAUGCGAUAAGUAAUGUGAAUUGCAGAAUUCAGUGAAUCAUCGAAUCUUUGAACGCACAUUGCGCCCGCCAGUAUUCUGGCGGGCAUGCCUGUUCGAGCGCCAUUACAACCCUCAGGCCCCCGGGCCUGGCGUUGGGGAUCGGCGGAAGCCCCCUGCGGGCACAACGCCGUCCCCCAAAUACAGUGGCGGUCCCGCCGCAGCUUCCAUUGCGUAGUAGCUAACACCUCGCAACUGGAGAGCGGCGCGGCCACGCCGUAAAACACCCAACUUCUGAAUGUUGACCUCGAAUCAGGUAGGAAUACCCGCUGAACUUAAGCAUAUCAAUAAGCGGAGGA